rnacentral:rRNA from 1 species
AGAACGAACGCUGGCGGCAGGCUUAACACAUGCAAGUCGAACGCACCGCAAGGUGAGUGGCAGACGGGUGAGUAACGCGUGGGAAUCUACCCAACCCUUCGGAAUAGCUCCGGGAAACUGGAAUUAAUACCGAGUACGCCCUACGGGGGAAAGAUUUAUCGGGGUUGGAUGAGCCCGCGUUGGAUUAGCUAGUUGGUGGGGUAAUGGCCUACCAAGGCGACGAUCCAUAGCUGGUCUGAGAGGAUGAUCAGCCACACUGGGACUGAGACACGGCCCAGACUCCUACGGGAGGCAGCAGUGGGGAAUAUUGGACAAUGGGCGCAAGCCUGAUCCAGCCAUGCCGCGUGAGUGAUGAAGGCCCUAGGGUUGUAAAGCUCUUUCAGUGGGGAAGAUAAUGACGGUACCCACAGAAGAACGCCCCGGCUAACUUCGUGCCAGCAGCCGC